CGGUGAGCCUUAGGCGGGGAGCUAGGGGUUCCCUGAGAAGCCUCGCGCUUCGACCGUAAAUCCUCUAUAGGACGCCGAAAGCCGAUGUGAGGCGCCGAGGAUCACCACACCCCCCGAAGACCGGGCGAUGAAUAUUCGUCCUCUGGGGCCGACGGUCGUGGAGCGACCCCUGUAGGGGGGUUGUGAACCACGUUAGCCGAGCGAACCUGGCUAGGCCCGGGAGGGAGCAACCUAAGCUCGGACGCUCGGCGCUCAGAGGGGUCGGGUAGGAGACUCGGUUUAGGGGGGAUGGUGAAGCACCCGGCGUCGAGCAUCGGUGGCUCACCG
rnacentral:SRP_RNA from 1 species